CCUGUAAUAGCUAACUCUGCCUAUGCUUUAUUUUUUCAAUGCCAGUUUGUACAGAACUGCUUUUAUCCAUGACUUGUUUCUUCUCUUGGCUUUCUUCGAUUUUCCUUUGACUGCAUUUUUGAUAAUGCAAUUGCAGUUCUACAUCUAUGCAGCAGCAGCAGCAGCAGUCAGUUUUCAAUUUUGUUCCAUUUGAGGUUCUUUAAAUGAAUGAAGACAUAUUUGCACCAAAGUUUCAUUUCCAAGGAGCCUUUGAUCAGAGCUGAUUAGGGGUCCUGUGGAUACCAGCUCAUAUGUGGAGUUUUUGCAGUGUGUAUGUCUCAAUUUUAUCUCUUCUUUCAUUUUGAACAUUACCACCUGUUCUCUCUGCCGGCAUUUGCUGUCACAUGUGGACACUUAUUGUAUUUGCUCAGAGAGGUGAUGAGAAAAGGGAUGUAAGCUGAAAAAAGGAAUUGAAAGAACAGUGGAAGUAUGUCUCCCAGGGGAAUGUAAGAUAAAAAAGGAAGCUAUUGCCUGUGAUGUCAGCCAUGAAAAGGGUCCUCCACCGUUUCGUCUCUCGAGCAGCAGGAGCGACACGUUUAAUUAAUUAGACUGCGCCUGUGACUUUAGAGGCAAAUCAAAAAAGACCAUAUGACUUUCCUUCAAGGAGAAAUUAUUACUUGGUGAAUUAACUUGUUUACACAAGUGUUGGGAAUAUGAACAUACAUUUUUGUUAUUUAAAUGAAAGCCUGAUUGGAACAUGCAUGAAUGAAUGAAUGUGUGAUUUACAGAAAGAAGUAGUCAUGGUGCAGCCAAAAUCAUUGAGACAGAACAAACUGAUAGAUUGGUUUGGACAUUUAGUAACAUCUACACUAUUGAGGGUCAUUUUGCCUCAUAUCAAACAUGAACUAGUGGUCAGUCAAGCAAUUUUAUUGUCCCAUUUGGCCCUUCAUCACAGGCACACUCAGAAGCCCACUGCAUCUGUGAGAGCACAGGUGGAUUUUUCGAAAAAGCUGAUUGGAAGAGCCAAUUUAACUCGCUGUGCGAAAUUUCUUAAUAAACAAAAAAAAAAAAAAAAAAAAAAAUGGUGCUGCAACAAGGGUCUAUCAGCAGGGAACACUGUGUCUCACAGAGUAUUGUCAUCAAAUGCUCUGAUCUGAGCAGUAAGUGGAAGUCACAUGGGCAGCUCACACCAGGGUGUUUUGGAGUCUGGUGGCAGAACGAUAUACCAUAGCAUGUAGGCACCUGCGUUUUGGUCUUACAAGCUGGUACUUGCUGCUGUUUCCUAUUCGUUUCUUAGAACGCUUCAGCACUUUACCUGUCCCUUUCUAUUAGUGUGUGUAACUGACCAGUUAGCCACUGUGCUAUUGUUUCUCCU
rnacentral:lncRNA from 1 species